CCCAGAAUAUUUUCUUUUGUUUUUUUACUUUCAUCUAUGUUGUUUGAUUUUUCCUAAGCUCUUUUACUUUAUUCAUCACAGGAAUAGAUGUUGAAUCAUGGAGGUCUGUCUUUGAAUAUGUGGAUAUUAUUAUUGCAAAUUUUACUUCGCCAUGGAUGGUGACAGUCUGAUUGGGGUGAUGUUAGGUUUACUAGCAGAUUAAUGUAAGCGAGGAAAAUAAGUCAAGAUCAAUAGCUAAUGCAGACUUAUGCAAACCCAUAUGUCUUCAAUCCCAUCAUCACCAGUGGAUAAAUACAGUAUAGGGUUACAAUCUGAUCACAGGUUAUAUGAGCUUUAAGACAUAUGAGUCUCCAUGAAUCUGCCAUUUGUUCAUCAACUACUUCCUGUGAUUCUCACCUAAAGAGGCUACCAUCCGGAUUCACAGCUUGGAUCAGGCUAGACUUUCAUGGAAUGUAUGAUGGUUAAUUUGCAACAGGGUGCAAGGUGAGAUUUACAGCUUCUCCACCGCUUGGUUCUAUAGGAUACAAAUGCAUCUGCCAACAACUGCUGAACCCAUCGUCAUGUCCUGAAGUAUUGCGCCUGUUUGCUGUGUCUGCUGGGUUUGGACUACAAUUGAAGAAAUCCAGAACUAUUUUUUCGUGAUGACAAUGCGGUAAUGCACCUGCUCAUCUACAUUUUUUUGCUGUUCCCUUUCAAUCCUUCUUUCUUUUGGAAGUUCCUAUGCACUUUUUCUCUAAUUACUCUUUCACUUGCAGUGUUUCUGAUCAGUUGCAAAGCAUCUGAUCUCAAGCAUGUGGAAAUAGCUUAGUCCCAAUAUAUUUAAGUGUAUACUCAUUAGUGAGUGAGUUGCACAGCUUUUGCUAAGAUGUUGAGCCUUAUUUGGAUAAGACAGGGUCCAGAUUAUUAACAUUUGCUUGACUACAAGCUCUUUCAAGGGGGUUGAAUCAACUUUCAGGAGGUCCACACUCUGCUUUGUAAAUGGUGGAAGGAUGUCUAUUUGGGACUUUGUUUCCGAAGAUGACUGCUUACAUGUUAAUAAGUAAGCUGAAGGUAAAAAUCUUCUGCUCGAUAGCCCUUUAUGCCUGUGAACCAUUUGCGCACAAGUGUCAUUAUCCUAAACCCAAUAUAUUAAAUCCCACUUACAUUAAGAAAUGGUAUUUGCUAUCUUAGAUCAAAUGGUGGAGCGCGUGGUUCUUAACCAUGUAAUUGUGGGUUCGACUCCCACGGAUGGCACAAUUAACUUAGUUGAGAAGGCUAAAACCUUACCUGCUUCCUAUGAAAAUAUUAGCUAUGCAAGACACUUGCAUCUGACUCCCAAGAAUGACACAGAUAACUUAGUUGAGCAGGCUAAAACCUUACCUGCUUCGAUGACAAUAUUAGCUUUGCAAUACACAUGCAUAAAUUUAAAGCAUGUCAUAUAUCAUUGUGGUACCCGUAGCAAAAGAACGCCAACAAUCCUAGAAUUAGCCAACAUGAGGUCUGUGCAUCUAUUUUUUAGUAAUGAAUUGGUAAUAAUAUAAUCCCAGCCCAACUCUUUCAUGUUGCACUUAGCAAGGUAGUCAAAGCUAAACAAACAACACCACUUGCAACAAGUUGUCGCGAAAGAUAAUUUAAAUGGGAAAAAUUAGUAAUUUUAGCCCUUUCCUGAAUUUCUAUAGUGAGGUCGCUUCUGUAGAAUACAUAUACCAAUAAUUCUUUGUGUUCUGUCCUCAAGUGGUAAUAAGGUCAUUGUAUAGGUUAACAAGGUCAUGGCUUUUGAGACAGUUAAACAGUUGAAAAUACCGGUCUAAGAUAAAUAUCUCCUGCAGACUUUAUAUUAAGUACAUACUCAACAUAAGUAUAUUUCCCAACAAAAUUCAAAACUCAGGUGCCAUAAUUUAUGUUGCCGUGUAGCAUAUAAAAUGACAUACAUGAUUGCUUUAUCCUACCGACUUGAUUCGGGGUUCAUUUCGGCCACUCAUGGUUUAGAUGGAAAAGCGAUCCAAGUACAACAAGCAUCAGGCGUGCUUUGAAGUAUAUUUAUUAGAGGAAAUAACCGAUAUUUUAUUAAUGUUAAGCAUGCAUAGAGUUGAAAAUAAGAAAGCUCGUAGGCUGACUUCAGCUUUCCGUUGCCACUUAGGACAGUGAUUUCUUACCGUUAGGUAAUGAGUGGAAGAUCGUCCAGAUCUGUUCACUGCUUUGUAGGAAUUUAAAUUUAUGCUCUUGACGAGGUUAGUUGCAGUACAUUGUUCAUGUACUACUUUAAAUGAGAUAGUGUAGAUGGGUAUGGAUGCUUUGGGUGGGAUGAAUAAAAAAGAGAAAUUCCAAGGUGUUCCGAGCUAGGAAUCUAGAAUAUAAUCAUGGUAGGGGUUUGCAAAAUAGGGAAGACUUGAUAUGAAAUGAAUAGAUUAAAUUUAUCAGAGAGUAUGUUGCUUAUUGAUGAAAUAAUACUCAUUCUAUCGAUUCUUAGGUACUAUAUGAUAUGAGAUCCAUAGAAGGCCUUCUGGUUCCAAAAAUAUAUUUGAUCUUAGUAGUUUAAGCUUGAUGUUACUACAUUCACAUUCUUCUUUACGGAGUGUGCGAAGAGCAGAUGUAAAUAGGGUUGUAGGAGGGGCCAAACUGAAACUCAACGUGUUAUUAGAACUGCAAGUCAUGGCGCAGAUAGAUAUCAGAAUUUUGUUACAAAAAAAAAUAAAAUGAAAACUUAAUUAGCAUGACAAAUGUAUAAGUUGUGAGUCAUAAAUAUUAUCUGAACUAUUAAUAAUUACUUAGAUUUGGGACUACCAACAUGAGAUUAUACGAAUUAUUAAUAAUCGCUUCAAGAAUUUAUUUAGGUAUUGUUCUACCCUCAAAAAUUUUAUUGGAUGUUAUUUUCUACAUCUCCCGGUUCACCGUUGUUGAAUGAUUUUAUGUUAUAGGUGAUGAUUGGGUUGGACUCAUUAGGAGAUCUUAGUGAAAAACCUUUGAAAAAUGAAGAUGGUCUACUACUCUUUAAGUCAUGGUGGUAUUAUGUAUCCAAUUUUCUUUUGUGUAUAGGUAUGAUUCAUUCUUUGGUUGGUACAAACAAAGUGGAUUAGAGUCAUGGUGAUAGUUGCUCCAACAAAUUAACUGUUUAAAUAUAACGCUAUCCCAUGCCCUUUCAUGUUCAAAUACGGAGGAUUGAUAUUCAGAAACCUAGGGAAUUUUUUCCUAAAGUGAUCCAGUUUCUAAUGAAAUAUUUGGAUUGAAUAGGGAUUGAAAAAACCCAUGAAAAGUGAAUUGAACUACAACGGCAAUAGUGAGCACAUGCAACCAACCAAGCACAUGAAAAAUGAAUUGGAGCAGCAAAUUUAGAGUUGUGAGAAACGGUGUUACGGUUAAACUAUUAUUGUAAAAUUUAGUU